UUCUCUCCCUUCAUCACACUUGGCACAUUUUCUCUCUGGACAAAUCCAGCGGACAUUUUGCAGACCUGCUAAUCUCAGGAAGACUGAAGUUUUUAGAAGGUCACUCUUCAUAUUUAGGGGACUCUGCUAGUGUGUUACCCAGGGAAGAUCAGCAACCACAAAAUGUUGGCUAUAAUUUUCUGCAAUUUGUUGCAUGCCCUCUUCAAGCCCUGGGAUUCUGUUGUUGGAGCCACAAGGACCCUUAAGAAAAACGCUUGGAGCCAGCUGGUCCCUGCCAUCAUUGCAACCCAAAGGGAGGAGCUCCGCGGGUGAGAAACUACUCUCUGGAUGCCUUGAAGUUACUUGUAUUUCAAAAGAAUUCA